UACGUAGGGGGCUAGCGUUGUCCGGAAUCAUUGGGCGUAAAGCGCGCGUAGGCGGCCCGGUAAGUCCGCUGUAAAAGUCAAAGGCUCAACCUUUGAAUGUCAGUGGAUACUGCCGGGCUAGAGUCCGGAAGAGGCGAGUGGAACUCCUGGUGGAGCGGUGAAAUGCGUUGAUAUCGGAAGGAACGCCGGUGGCGAAAGCGACGGACUGGAUCUCUUCUGACGCUGAGGCGCGAAAGCUAGGGGAGCAAACGGG
rnacentral:rRNA from 1 species